CUGUUAUACGUAUGGAUAUGAACUAAAUAUACUUUUCCCCCGAAAACUGCUACCUAUGUAGAGUUCUGACUUGAAGGAAAUAACUACAUCUUAUAUGUAAUGGCCCCUUCUUUUGUUGGCUUCCAAGACUUCUGCCAAUUUAGGCUGUUAAUCUUUGCAGAACUCAUGCAGUCGGAUGCCAUGGCGAGCCAGACUUCUCCUACCCCCCCUGCGUAUGAUAAACACCUGGAAGGCUAAACCUUAAGGAGAAGGUGGAGCACAGGUCUGUUGAACACGGGGCGCACAGGGCAGUCAGAACAGCAACUGGGUGCAUCGGUAGAAGCCAGCAACGUGGGCAUUCCACCCAGCUUUCUUACUGGCUCUGGAUUUCCCUGGCUG